UCUUUUGUGUUAUAGAUUCUCCUCAAAAUCUGGGUUCUUUGAUUGUUCCAAUAUACAUAAGGACCAGACAAUUAGCUGAUCUAAAGAAAAGCCCUAUGAAAACUUUGUGGACUCAGGGAGAUGACUUUUAAUAAAGUACUCAGUGCUAAAAUAAAUACAUUUGUGCCUUUUCUAAAUCAAGACCAGUGGAGUGAUGUACUGUUUAUAAGUGCUUGAGAAAUGUAAAUAUUAAUAAACUAAGGGGGUGGCUGAAGAGCUAUAGAAGAAACUAUCUCGGAGUACCUGGUGGAACAGGAUGAACAUGAAAUUAUCAAUAAAAUUAAGUCUAGAAGAAGCCCACUAGUCUGGGAGCUGCCGUCCUGGGAAGACAAAGGCAACUGUUCCACUUCUUCCCUCCAGCUGGAGAAAGGGAGGAUCCUCCACAUAUUGAUUCAGGGAGACAGACAAGGUUUAUUGAGUAUCCACCAUGUUUUGAGCAGGAGAAAUGGAUAUGAAAAUUUAAGAAGAAAAUCACAACCCUGCCACACAGUUACGGUCCAUCAAGAAAGAGACAUUUGUAAUUAUAAUAAAAUGGGAGAUUUAUAAUUGAGGACAUUCACAGCAUUAGGAAAACAUAAAGCACAGGUAAUAAAACUAAUCUAA